UACGUAGGCAGCGAGCGUUGUUCGGAGUUACUGGGCGUAAAGGGCGCGUAGGCGGCCUGUUGCGUCCGCCGUGAAAUCCCAGGGCUCAACCCUGGGCGUGCAGUGGAUACGGGCAGGCUGGAGGCAGGCAGGGGAGAACGGAAUUCCCGGUGUAGCGGUGAAAUGCGCAGAUAUCGGGAGGAACACCGGUGGCGAAGGCGGUUCUCUGGGCCUGUACUGACGCUGAGGAGCGAAAGCGUGGGGAGCGAACAGG
rnacentral:rRNA from 1 species